rnacentral:rRNA from 1 species
GACAGAGGUGCCGAGCGUUAGGCGGAAUCACUGGACUUAAAAGCGCGUGUAGGUGGACGGGUAAGUAUCUUGUGAAAUCCCACGGCUCAACCGUGGAACUGCUGGAUAUACUGCUUGUCUUGAGCACUUAGGGGCAGCUGGAACAAAUGGUGGAGCGGUGAAAUGCGUAGAUAUCAUUUGGAACGCCAAAGGCGAAAGCAGGCUGCUGGGAGUGAUCUGACACUGAGACGCGAAAGCCAGGGGAGCAAAAGCGGGGAGUUAA